rnacentral:lncRNA from 1 species
CUCUGAUGCUUUUUGGCAAUUUUUCAUUUUUUUCAUUUUUCAGGUUAACCAGGUUGGGAAACAAUGAGAACCCUUUAUAGAGGCCACCUCGUCUCUGUUCUUGUUCCUGGAGUGCUCCUGAACAACUCAGCAAGGCUGCCUCUUAUCAAGGAAAGGCAAGGAACGAUCGCUCCAGUUCUGAUCAUCAAAGCAAAAAUACUGAGGUCACAGGAAACUCAUAAGAAUGACAGUGACAAGACAUAAAGACUGAGCAGACCACAAAUCUCUUGCUCUUUAUAAAGAAAGUUUUAAUCAUUGGAUAAGAAGAAAAAAAAAACCACGACCAGCAUUCUCAUUCAAUCUCUUCAUUUUGAGAUCACAAAGCUGUUUCUAUGAGGGAGGAAAUGACAGAAACACAGGGGAUAAUAACACCGAAAACUGAAGAAUGGAAGACACACAUAUUUAUCCCUUGGCAAGAGAAUGCAUUCAGGCUUCCAGUCUUAUGCCUUUUGUCUUGGGGAAGGAAGGCCACAGAGGAACAACAGAGAAAAGUCACGUGUCAGCUCUCUCCAUAUGGAGUUCUGAAAUUCCCAGCACAGACGACACCUAGAAGCAUCAGUUGGUUAAGCGUCCGACUUUGGCUUGGGUCACGAUCUCACAGUUCGUGAGUUUGAGCCCCACAUCAGGCUCACUGCUGUCAGCCUGUCAGCAGAGAGCCUACUUCAGAUCCUCUGUCUCCCUCUCUUUGCCCCUCCCCCACUUGCACUCUCCCAAUAAAUAAAUAUUGAAAUUCUCA